rnacentral:rRNA from 1 species
UUAGAGUUUGAUCCUGGCUCAGGAUGAACGCUAGCGGCAGGCUUAACACAUGCAAGUCGAGGGGCAGCGAGAUCAGUGCUUGCACUGAUUGUCGGCGACCGGCGCACGGGUGCGUAACGCGUAUGCAACCUACCCAUUACAGGGGGAUAACACUGAGAAAUCGGUACUAAUACCCCAUAACAUCCAGGGAGGCAUCUUCUUGGGUUGAAAACUCCGGUGGUAAUGGAUGGGCAUGCGUUGUAUUAGUUAGUUGGUGGGGUAACGGCUCACCAAGACAACGAUACAUAGGGGGACUGAGAGGUUAACCCCCCACAUUGGUACUGAGACACGGACCAAACUCCUACGGGAGGCAGCAGUGAGGAAUAUUGGUCAAUGGACGCAAGUCUGAACCAGCCAUGCCGCGUGCAGGAAGACGGCUCUAUGAGUUGUAAACUGCUUUUGUACGAGGGUAAACGCAGAUACGCGUAUCUGUCUGAAAGUAUCGUACGAAUAAGGAUCGGCUAACUCCGUGCCAGCAGCCGCGGUAAUACGGAGGAUUCAAGCGUUAUCCGGAUUUAUUGGGUUUAAAGGGUGCGUAGGCGGUCGGAUAAGUUAGAGGUGAAACCCCGGGGCUCAACUUCGGAAUUGCCUCUGAUACUGUUCGGCUAGAGAGUAGUUGCGGUAGGCGGAAUGUAUGGUGUAGCGGUGAAAUGCUUAGAGAUCAUACAGAACACCGAUUGCGAAGGCAGCUUACCAAGCUACUUCUGACGUUGAGGCACGAAAGCGUGGGGAGCAAACAGGAUUAGAUACCCUGGUAGUCCACGCAGUAAACGAUGAUAACUCGUUGUCGGCGAUACAGUGUCGGUGACUAAGCGAAAGCGAUAAGUUAUCCACCUGGGGAGUACGUUCGCAAGAAUGAAACUCAAAGGAAUUGACGGGGGCACGCACAAGCGGAGGAACAUGUGGUUUAAUUCGAUGAUACGCGAGGAACCUUACCCGGGCUUGAAAGUUAGUGACGGAUCUUGAAAGAGGUCUUCCCUUCGGGGCACGAAACUAGGUGCUGCAUGGUUGUCGUCAGCUCGUGCCGUGAGGUGUCGGGUUAAGUCCCAUAACGAGCGCAACCCCUACCGUUAGUUGCCAGCAGGUCAAGCUGGGCACUCUGACGGGACUGCCGGUGUAAGCCGAGAGGAAGGUGGGGAUGACGUCAAAUCAGCACGGCCCUUACGUCCGGGGCUACACACGUGUUACAAUGGCAGGUACAGAGGGCAGCUACCCAGCGAUGGGAUGCGAAUCUCGAAAGCCUGUCUCAGUUCGGAUUGGAGGCUGAAACCCGCCUCCAUGAAGUUGGAUUCGCUAGUAAUCGCGCAUCAGCCAUGGCGCGGUGAAAACGUUCCCGGGCCUUGCACUCACCGCCCGUCA